rnacentral:tRNA from 1 species
GCCAGAGUGGCGGAAUUGGCAGACGCGUUGGAUUCAAAAUCCAAUUCUCGCAAGGGAGUGUGGGUUCAAGCCCCACCUCUGGUACCA